rnacentral:rRNA from 1 species
UACGUAGGGGGCAAGCGUUGUCCGGAUUUAUUGGGCGUAAAGAGCGUGUAGGCGGCCAUUCAGGUCAGCUGUGAAAACUCGAGGCUCAACCUCGAGACGUCGGUUGAAACCGUUUGGCUAGAGUCCGGAAGAGGAGAGUGGAAUUCCCGGUGUAGCGGUGAAAUGCGCAGAUAUCGGGAAGAACACCCGUGGCGAAGGCGGCUCUCUGGGACCGGUACUGACGCUGAGACGCGAAAGCGUGGGGAGCGAACAGG